GACGUAGGGGGCAAGCGUUAUUCGGAAUUAUUGGGCGUAAAGCGCUCGUAGGCGGGAAAACAAGUCCGUGUUGAAAUAUCUCGGCUCAACUGAGGAACCGGCUCGGAUACUGUUUUUCUUGAGGCAUUCAGAGGGUGAUGGAAUUCCCGGUGUAGCGGUGAAAUGCGCAGAUAUCAGGAGGAACACCGGUGGCGAAGGCGGGUCUCUGGGCCGAUACUGACGCUGAGGAGCGAAAGCGUGGGGAGCGAACAGGG
rnacentral:rRNA from 1 species